rnacentral:lncRNA from 1 species
ACUCCACAUGCUGAGAGACUUUUAUCUAAGCAGCCCAGAACUCUUCCCUUUGCCAUCAAGGCCUAACUGGCUGCUCACUGCCAGGCUCAGAGCAGAGCUCAGCCCUCGCCAGACUUAACCCUUUAUUCCAGCUGCCAACGUGAGCUGUCAGUGCACGGAUUUGGGAGCAGGUCAGGAACAUGCAUUCAGCUAAUUAGUGGCCCAUCAGGAGCUGGAAAGCAAAUGAAAGCUGCAGACAGGCCCUGGCACAACAGACAAGUCCUCACAGGCUUUCCCGGGGAGCUUCGUGUUUCUGUCAGCGACAAGAUGACAAUUCAUAUUUCUACCAAAUGAUCCAGUGACUCAUCCUAUUAACUCUGCUGGAAUACACACUUCCAGUUGUCCUGUCACGGUUCCCCAGAUGCUUUACUGCUCUUCCUUGUCUCGUCUGGGUUUAAAUAACAACUGGAAGUCCCUCCACCUUUGACAUUCCUGCCUUUGGAACUUAUGCCAGCUGCAGUCCUGAAGAAAGCCAGUGCAGAGAUGAGUGGCAGAGUUUCUGUGGGUGUUUCUGGAACGAUCCUCCAAAACAAGGCCAUCACAGCAGUUCCCAGGACAUUUUGCUACAUCUCUUUUCAACCUCUUCUCCCAGGGAACAAGGGACAGGAUGAGAGGAGACAGCCCCAAGCCAUGCCAGGGGAGGUGCAGGUUGAACAGCAGGAGGAAUUUCUUCAUGGGAAGGGUGCUCAGGCCUUGGAAGGGGCUGCCCAGGGAGGUUUGAAGUCCCCAUCCUUGGAGGUGUCCAAGGAAGGAGUGGAGGUGGCACUCAGUGCUCUGGGCUGGGGACAAGGUGGGGAUUGGACUGGUUGGACUGGAUGGUCCUGGGGGGCUUUUCCACUCAUUCUGGAAUUCUGUGAUCUGUGAAAGGUCCCUGCACAAGCAAUUUCAAGUGCAAAGCAAAAAGAAUUGAGGCAUUUAAGUAUUCCCAGCCCUUACUGUAAACAGAAAAACAUGGGAGCAGAUAGAAGCAAAGGGAAGAGGAUGGAGCUGCCACAGCUGCAGAAAAACUAUUUCAUCUGUAUCCUGCCUGAAAAUGCCAGCACAUGGCAAACCCUUUGAAAACACACUGAAUCAACAUUAUGGAAUAUAUAAAAAGAGAAUCUAAACAGUUUAUCAGUAAAAUAUGAGCUAAAUUUGAUGAGACUGUUCUCUAGACUGCAAGUAUCUGUUUCUAUGAAAGUUGUGGGGAGCAUGAAAGCUGUCAUUAGCAUGGCAGAUUUGCUUCAUUCAGAUGUAAAGCCAGAUCUGCUUGGAUUUUUUUGAUGAAGCUCAUGCACGGUGAAAUGCUAAGAGGUGGUUAAUGAAACAUUCUAGCAUCAUUGUAAGCCCAAACUCAGAGUUGCUUGCACCAAAAAGAAAAUUAGAGCCUCUAUUUUCAAUGGGAAAAUAAAUUAUAAAAUUUAACAUUAUUAUGUUUAAUG